UCUGUCCUUGACAGACUUUCCUUCUCCCUUCCUAUGUUAAUUUUAUUAAUUAAUUACUAAAACCAACAUACAGAAACAGUUUAAUCAUCAAUCAGUCCACUCUUCCUUUAAUUACAUAUAUUAAAAACCCUCCCCAGUCUCCUUCCUUGUUUUCUCCCUUAUUAAAUUCUUCUCUUCUAUUUUAUCUUUAAUCUCCCCACCCCUUUGAUGUUAUUGUCCGAAUGGCCGGCUUGGAUCUUGGCACUACUUCUCGCUACAACAUCCACCACCACCAUCAGCUCCACCACUUGCCCGACCUCCACCUCCACCAUCUCCACCACGAUUUAAAUCGCGGUGGAGCAGAUGCUGAAGAUGGCGGCGGAGACUACAACCACCAUGGUGAUGGUGGUCUGUCUAGUGGAGGGGGUUUUUAUUUUA
rnacentral:lncRNA from 1 species